rnacentral:rRNA from 1 species
GACGAACGCUGGCGGCGUGCUUAACACAUGCAAGUCGAACGGAAAGGCCUGCUUUCCCUUGUGUAUUGCGGGUACUCGAGCGGCGAACGGGUGAGUAACACGUGAGUGAUCUGCCCCCAACUGGGGUAUAAGCCUGGGAAACUGGGUCUAAUUACAGAUAGUACUGCAGGGUGGUGCCGGUGGUGGAAACCGAUGUUCUAGUGGUUGGGGAUGAGCCGGCGGCUUAUCAGCUUGUUGGUGGGGCAAUGGCCUGCCAAGGCGGGGAGGGGGAGCCGGCGUGUGAUCAUGGACAGUGACAUUGAGACUGGGAUCCGGCCCCGACUCGAGCGGGCGGCGGGAGUGAGUAGUCUUGGGCCGGGGGCCUAAGCCUGAUGCAGCGCCGCCGUGUGGGGGGUGUCGGCGUUCGGGUUGUAUACUGCUUUCGACCGCGAGGAAGCCACCUGGUUGGAAGUGUGGUGACGGUAGUGGUAGAAGAAGCACCGGCUAACUACGUG